rnacentral:tRNA from 2 species
UAUUAAGUGGCUGAACAUUAAGCACUAGACUUUUAAUCUAGAAAAUGAUUUUAAAUUAAUCCUUAAUAU